rnacentral:tRNA from 1 species
GGUGGCUCAGCAGUAGAGUACUUGCCUUGUAUGCAUGAGGCCCUGGGUUCGAUUCUCCAGCACCA